rnacentral:rRNA from 1 species
UACAGAGGUCCCGAGCGUUUGUUCGGAUUCACUGGGCGUAAAGGGUGCGCAGGUGGUCGGGUAAGUCUGACGUGAAAUCCCGCAGCUUAACUGCGGAAUGGCAUUGGAUACUAUUCGGCUAGAGGGUUGGAGGGGGGGACUGGAAUUCUCGGUGUAGCAGUGAAAUGCGUAGAUAUCGAGAGGAACACCAGUGGCGAAGGCGAGUCCCUGGACAAUUCCUGACGCUGAGGCACGAAAGCUAGGGGAGCAAACAGG